rnacentral:rRNA from 1 species
UCGGGGCAGGGUGAGUCGACCCCUAAGGCGAGGCCGAAAGGCGUAGUCGAUGGGAAACAGGUUAAUAUUCCUGUACUUGGUGUUACUGCGAAGGGGGGACGGAGAAGGCUAUGUUGGCCGGGCGACGGUUGUCCCGGUUUAAGCGUGUAGGCUGGUUUUCCAGGCAAAUCCGGAAAAUCAAGGCUGAGGCGUGAUGACGAGGCACUACGGUGCUGAAGCAACAAAUGCCCUGCUUCCAGGAAAAGCCUCUAAGCAUCAGGUAACAUCAAAUCGUACCCCAAACCGACACAGGUGGUCAGGUAGAGAAUACCAAGGCGCUUGAGAGAACUCGGGUGAAGGAACUAGGCAAAAUGGUGCCGU